rnacentral:rRNA from 1 species
CUACGGAGGGGGCUAGCGUUGUUCGGAAUUACUGGGCGUAAAGCGUACGUAGGCGGAUUGUUAAGUUAGAGGUGAAAUCCCGGGGCUCAACCCCGGAACUGCCUUUAAAACUGGCAAUCUAGAGUUAUGGAGAGGUAAGUGGAAUUCCUAGUGUAGAGGUGAAAUUCGUAGAUAUUAGGAGGAACACCAGAGGCGAAGGCGGCUUACUGGACAUAUACUGACGCUGAGGUACGAAAGUGUGGGGAGCGAGCGGGAUUAGAAACCCGAGUAGUCC